rnacentral:rRNA from 1 species
GUCGAACGCUUCUUUCCUCCCGAGUGCUUGCACUCAAUUGGAAAGAGGAGUGGCGGACGGGUGAGUAACACGUGGGUAACCUACCCAUCAGAGGGGGAUAACACUUGGAAACAGGUGCUAAUACCGCAUAACAGUUUAUGCCGCAUGGCAUAAGAGUGAAAGGCGCUUUCGGGUGUCGCUGAUGGAUGGACCCGCGGUGCAUUAGCUAGUUGGUGAGGUAACGGCUCACCAAGGCCACGAUGCAUAGCCGACCUGAGAGGGUGAUCGGCCACACUGGGACUGAGACACGGCCCAGACUCCUACGGGAGGCAGCAGUAGGGAAUCUUCGGCAAUGGACGAAAGUCUGACCGAGCAACGCCGCGUGAGUGAAGAAGGUUUUCGGAUCGUAAAACUCUGUUGUUAGAGAAGAACAAGGACGUUAGUAACUGAACGUCCCCUGACGGUAUCUAACCAGAAAGCCACGGCUAACUACGUGCCAGCAGCCGCGGUAAUACGUAGGUGGCAAGCGUUGUCCGGAUUUAUUGGGCGUAAAGCGAGCGCAGGCGGUUUCUUAAGUCUGAUGUGAAAGCCCCCGGCUCAACCGGGGAGGGUCAUUGGAAACUGGGAGACUUGAGUGCAGAAGAGGAGAGUGGAAUUCCAUGUGUAGCGGUGAAAUGCGUAGAUAUAUGGAGGAACACCAGUGGCGAAGGCGGCUCUCUGGUCUGUAACUGACGCUGAGGCUCGAAAGCG